CCCCGCAGAGUGCCCUAAGUGGAAACUGCGGAGAAGCAAGACCUCAGAGUGCAACUAGUGGACGCGGCGGAGCAACCACGCCCUGCAGAUAUUGCCUGUCACCAUCACGAGACCCAGGAAGUGAUGCUCAAUGUGAGGAUCAGAGCUCUCCCAAUAUGAACCAUCACCAUUCUCAGAUGACCAGGUUCCAAGUUCCUCCCACGAAGACAGACGAGCUAAUCAGGAAAGCCAGCAUGAAAAGCACCGCCAAGAGGACCAAUAGCUCCCUAAUGGCUUCCCAACCAUUAGUUUCUUAUCCAGUUCUGCCUCUUAUACUGCUGGCAACAAUCCCCAGGAGUGAAGAAUGGAAGAGGAAACUACACACACGCUCUAGAAAGACUGCUGAGCUCCCAGUUGAGAACGACCAGGAGUCAUGCCGGUGCCAAUGUGCAGGUUUCUGUGGCACAGCUCCAGCAGCUGAAGAGACCAGCUGAGGGGAACUGGGUGGAGGUUUGCCACAAGUUUUGAGGAAAAGGAUCUACAGGAUUCAAUUCAAAAUAGCACCUCUGAUUUCAGUCAAGAGGUUUGGCCAUUUUUUUUUUUUUUUUUUUUUUUAGUUACUUCCACAGCAUUCUGAACAGGACAAAAUGACGACCACAGCAGCAAGACCAUGCCAGAUAGAACUCAGAUUUAUCUUGAUUCACAUUGGCAAAACAAGACUUACAUAAACAUGACUUACACUGUAA